UACGAAGGGAGCUAGCGUUGUUCGGAAUCACUGGGCGUAAAGGGUGCGUAGGCGGGUCUUUAAGUCAGGGGUGAAAUCCUGGAGCUCAACUCCAGAACUGCCUUUGAUACUGAAGAUCUUGAGUUCGGGAGAGGUGAGUGGAACUGCGAGUGUAGAGGUGAAAUUCGUAGAUAUUCGCAAGAACACCAGUGGCGAAGGCGGCUCACUGGCCCGAUACUGACGCUGAUGCACGAAAGCGUGGGGAGCAAACAGG
rnacentral:rRNA from 1 species